rnacentral:rRNA from 1 species
GAUGAACGCUGGCGGCGUGCCUAAUACAUGCAAGUCGAGCGAACAGACGAGGAGCUUGCUCCUCUGACGUUAGCGGCGGACGGGUGAGUAACACGUGGAUAACCUACCUAUAAGACUGGGAUAACUUCGGGAAACCGGAGCUAAUACCGGAUAAUAUAUUGAACCGCAUGGUUCAAUAGUGAAAGACGGUUUUGCUGUCACUUAUAGAUGGAACCGCGCCGCAUUAGCUAGUUGGUAAGGUAACGGCUUACCAAGGCGACGAUGCGUAGCCGACCUGAGAGGGUGAUCGGCCACACUGGAACUGAGACACGGUCCAGACUCCUACGGGAGGCAGCAGUAGGGAAUCUUCCGCAAUGGGCGAAAGCUUGACGGAGCAACGCCGCGUGAGUGAUGAAGGUCUUCGGAUCGUAAAGCUCUGUUAUUAGGGAAGAACAAAUGUGUAAGUAACUAUGCACGUCUUGACGGUACCUAAUCAGAAAGCCACGGCUAACUACGUG